GCGCCGGUGGUGUAUUGCAUAGAGCAUUCCCGCCCAGUUAGAGGGAGGUGCGGGUUCGAGUCCCGCCUGGCGCU
rfam:Heligmosomoides polygyrus genome assembly, scaffold: HPBE_scaffold0002353